ACCAUUCUUAAAAAAAUUUAAAAAAUUAAAAAAAAUAUUCAGGUACUUCUUUGUAAUUAACCCAAGAUAGAGAUUAGAGAUAUGGAACAGAGAAUAGGGAAAGAGAAUAGAGAUAAAGAUUCGGCUGCAGGUGAAUGACCUUAAACGGCGCACAAUGAUAUCCAAAUACAUACGGGAUGCGAUGAUGAUGAUGAUGAUGAUAGUCUUUUUUUUGAAAAACUUUGGCAAAUGCAAUUUCCUGCUCAUUCUUUGAACUUGUGCUGGAAGUAGUUUGCUUAUCUUGUCCCAAAACAUUGUAUAACCACCUUUGAAUCGUCUAAUCUUUCCAGCCAUUGAAGUCCUUAUAAACUCAUGAACAUAUGCAUGAGGCAUAUCCUGCACAAAGCCAUAACCUGAAGCUGUGAAUCCAUAGGCGACAGACUUGGGAACCGAUUCCAGUCCAUUAGCCUUUAGGAAUGAAGGAGUUAGCUCUGAAGCAAUGUCGCUAAUCGCAUGCACCCCGUUUCUACAUGUAGCCUUGGCCUCUUCCUGGAUUUUCAAGGUUAGAGAUAUAACGGAAAUGUAAUCAUCAGCGACCUUGGUGUCAUUGUAUUUUCCUGUAGUGCUAUCAAUGGUGGCGAACUUAUGAGUAUCUAGUUCCUCUGUUUCAGCCCCGAUUUCUUUCGCCAGGUGAAAGAUGGUUGGAGCGCUAUUUGCAGCCAGGACUUGACCUCCUAGAUCAUAGAUCCUCCCUGUGACAUAUUUUUAGAAUCCUCUAGUGUAAAGUUAAAGAACCUUGGAUGUUAAUACAUUCACUAUAUCAUUGUUAAAGGUCGGUAGCAAGAUAUGCAGGUUGGGCGAGUCAAGUGAUGGUGAACAUGUUGUGGUUAAAACACUCCUUAUUAGUAUAUGCAGUCUGGAUUGUCAAAUUAACACUUCUUUGUCCAUUUUCACUUUUUGUAUUAUCAAUAUUUUUUGUGUUA